UAGAAUGUGACAGUCCACAGAAAUAUCUGAUUUCAAAGAGAUGCUUGCAUUCUGUACUGAUGCCAUCUAGAAUUGUAAAUGACCAGUGUCACACUGCUAAGUGGAGAAAGCGUGAAAGAAGAAUCCCAUCAGUACAUUCACGAUAGAGGAAAUAAGAAACAAUGAAAGCCACAAGUUUACUCGAAGGCAGCAAAAUUGGCCCUACUCCCAACCCUGCAACAUGCACCAUUUCCAUAAACAAUCUACAGAGAUGGCUGAGAAAAAGAAAAAGGGGUACUCUCCUUUACCCCUUCUCCAAAGCCCGAUGAAGUAAAGAGUAGAAAUCAAGAGUGUCUACAAGAAUUGGGGAUUGGCAUUGAUUCUCCACUGUGUGAUUACUCAUGCUUUAUGGCAAUGUGCCUAUUUAAAGGGCAGGUAAUGACUUAGCAAGAAGGAAGGAGAGAGAAUGUCAAACUCACCUGAAGUCUUACCAAUUGGUGUGGCAGGUAUGUGGCUGUUUCCCAUGAGUGAAUACACUAUAAGAUUAUUAGGCUCUAGCUGUUUUGCUUGUAUCUAAUCCAGGUGACACCAGCAUUUAGAGACUAUGAGGUGUACUGGGAGCUGAGAUAAUGAAAGAGGUAGCAUUAAAGUAAUAUCCCCCAAAUUAUGGCAGAUCUAUGGUUAGAAGCCUAAGAAUAACAUGUGAAAACCUCAUGUCAGAGCCUGACAAUAUACCAGAAUUUGGAUACCUGCCAUACAGAAGGUACCAGCCGCCAAGGGGUAACUGUCAGAAAAGUGACAACAAUCACAAGUUGGGAAAAGGACUUGUCUCUUUGCCCCUCACUCCUCUCUGUGCCCAAUAAUUUGGAUGAGCUAUUGCCUACAGAAUGAAAGGAGAGUUGUAGGGCUAUGAAUCAAAUAUGAGACAAGUUUUAAAUGAGAAGAAAGUAACAUUUAAUAAGCAAAAAUGCCCAGAGAACUAUGGAAUCAUCCCAAGAAAGGAUUAAUAAACAAAAAUUGGAUUCAAUAGAAAACACAUCAGAGAAAAAAGUUAAUAUUUUUAUACCAUAGAUGUGAGAGUCCUUAAUGCACUAGUUACAGCAUAUUAGUGCAUUAUGUACAUUCCAUGUGACUCUCUUAUUACCACUAUACCCACAAUGCUUAGAACUGGGUCCUCAAUAAUCGAGUAUGGGUGGCUAAAGGACUUUUCAUUUUAUGUGGCAGAGGAUAAUAAUAAAAAAAGAAAUAAUA
rnacentral:lncRNA from 1 species